UUCGUCUUUGCCUAAUCACGCUACAUCUGUAUUUUUCAGAAAAACAGAUCCCCAAACAAGACAUUUGCUCAGACUCCAUUUGAUUUUGGGGGCUUUCCCCAAGGUCAUUUUGGCAUGGCGUGCAACACUUGCUAUUGUGCUAUUUUUAAAUCGCGCACAAGGAAAAUCAACACAGGACACAAAAUCGUUGGCAUUUCUCUCCAAGAACGGUCUCCUGGGCACUCUGGAUCAAAGGCCCCUUCCUUCUGUGGAAAGUCUCUGCUGUCAAGUUCGGCGAAGUGAACUUAAUAAAAUGAACUGACUAAAUGAUGGCAUGUGA